rnacentral:tRNA from 1 species
AAAGAAUUAGUUAAUUUAUAUAACAUCAGAAUGUCAAACUGAAGUAAUCAAAAAGAUAUCCUUUU